rnacentral:lncRNA from 1 species
CUAACCCACCGCCAGCAUUCAGGACUGAUGAAGGCAAAGCUGCCAUGUUUUCAGUGUCGGGGACCUAGCAACCCUGUAUUCUUAAUUCCAGAACAAUCUGAUCUACUCAAAGUUGCAGGGCAAAUAAGACGAAGAGCUUGGGAAACUGGGUGGCUGUAGUUGCAGAAAACUCAUACUCUUUUUUUCUUUUUUUCCGGAGCUGGGGACCGAACCCAGGGCCUUGCGCUUCCUAGGCAAGCGCUCUACCACUGAGCUAAAUCCCCAACCCCGAAAACUCAUACUCUUGUUGGAGCUGGGAUUUCAGCGCGUCCAGUCUUCAUUCAUCCCGCUCACCCACCCACCCAGUGUCCGUGACCCAGGGGAAGACAAAACCCAACAGAGACAAAACAGGGACACAAAACAGGAAAACAAGGCUGAGGAGAAGACUAGAAGAAGAAAUGUAUACAUAAGUAAGGCCCAGGUGUAGUUUUAACAUUUUCAAAACCUAUUUUUAAUAUGGGUUCUUACUCGCUUUAAUCUACUUCUGGUCCACCUCCCGCCAGAGGUAGUGUAAAGGAAAGGUUCUUAGGGUGCAGGGGGAGUGCACCUGUUUAGAAAUGGUUCUUUGGAGCAAAUCCCAUCUGCGUUGUCCGGAAGUCAGCAGUUCAGCUCAUAGGAGUCCCCAGAGGGAGCCAUCCCCUUGCAAAUACUUCACGGU